UACAGAGGGUGCAAGCGUUAAUCGGAAUUACUGGGCGUAAAGCGAACGUAGGCGGUUAUCUAAGUCGGAUGUGAAAUCCCCGGGCUCAACCUGGGAAUUGCAUUCGAGACUGGAUGGCUAGAAUGCGGAAGAGGGAAGCGGAAUUUCCGGUGUAGCGGUGAAAUGCGUAGAUAUCGGAAGGAACAUCAGUGGCGAAAGCGGCUUCCUGGUCCAGCAUUGACGCUCAGGUUCGAAAGCGUGGGGAGCAAACAGG
rnacentral:rRNA from 1 species